rnacentral:rRNA from 1 species
GACGAACGCUGGCGGCGUGCUUAACACAUGCAAGUCGAACGGAAAGGCCCUGCUUUUGUGGGGUGCUCGAGUGGCGAACGGGUGCGUAACACGUGAGUAACCUGCCCUUGACUUUGGGAUAACUUCAGGAAACUGGGGCUAAUACCGGAUAGGAGCUCCUGCUGCAUGGUGGGGGUUGGAAAGUUUCGGCGGUUGGGGAUGGACUCGCGGCUUAUCAGCUUGUUGGUGGGGUAGUGGCUUACCAAGGCUUUGACGGGUAGCCGGCCUGAGAGGGUGACCGGCUACAUUGGGACUGAGGGACGGCCCAGACUCCUACGGGAGGCAGCAGUGGGGAAUAUUGCACAAUGGGCGGAAGCCUGAUGCAGCAGCGCCGCGGGCGGGAUGACGGCCUUCGGGUUGUAAACCGCUUUCGCCUGUGACGAAGCGUGAGUGACGGUAAUGGGUAAAGAAGCACCGGCUAACUACGUG